GGCUGGAUGGAGUGCAGUGGUGUGAUCUCAGCUCACUGCAACCUCCACCUUCAGUUCAAGUGAUUCUCCUGCCAGGUAGCUGGGGUUGCAGGUGCCCACCACCAGGCCUGGCUAGUUUUUUUAUUUUUAGUAGAGACAGAGUUUCACCAUGUUGGCCAUGCUGGUCUCGAACUCCGACCUCAAGUGAUCUUCCCGCCUCAGCCUCCCAAAGUGCUAGGAUUACAGGCAUGCACCACCAUGCCCAGCUAAUUUUUUUGUAUUUUUGGUAGAAACGGGGUUUCAUCAUGUUGUCUUAAACUCCUGGGCUCAAGUGAUC
rnacentral:lncRNA from 1 species